UCUUAUGGAUGAACAAAGAAAGUGGUUUCCUACGAUAAAAUCUACUCCUGGUGAAGAUACUGUGAA
rnacentral:pre_miRNA from 1 species